GUAAGGAGGCUGCCGUCUCUAGUCAAGCACUAAGACUUCGGAGUAUGAGUAAGAACUCCACUGAGCCUGCUGGUGUAAUUAAAGGUUUUUCUCCACCUUUUUGAGUGACCUUUGGGUUCUCGAGUCUUCAAACUGAGGUAGCUGGGAUGCUGAGCUGUAACACUCAGCUGUGCCUCAGAGCUGUAACGCUUGGGUAUAGCACCGAGCUUUUCUGCUUUGCCUCAAGUCAGUCUGGACAAGAGUCAAGAAGGCCAACACAAUUUUAUCUAAAAGUGUGAUAAGGAAGCUUAGAAGAUGGAGUUUUGAAGUCAUUUCAUGUAGAUGGUCAUUAAAGCCCUGAACAGGUGAACAUGAAAGAGAACAUAGAGGAGAAGAGCCCAGUGAUGGAAAAGGUUGGCCAAGAGACACAGCAAAGUGGAUAUGAAAGAAUAGACAACAUAAAAUGACUAAAAUACACACAUUGGUUAUUUCAGGAAUCACUCACCUACUCUGGAGUCAAGGAUUAAAAACUAUCACAAUAUCAACCUGUGGAUGGAUUUUAAUAAGG
rnacentral:lncRNA from 1 species